rfam:Camelus ferus unplaced genomic scaffold scaffold866, whole genome shotgun sequence.
GAGGGUAUAGCUCAGCAGUAGAACACAUGCUUAGCUUGCACGAGGUCCUGGGUUCAAUCCCCAGUACCUCCA